UUUUACUUAAUAGUUUUGCAUUUGAAGACAUUGUGUAUCUAUAUGCUGGCUCUCAUCAAGCAAUUGAACAGUACUAUUUCACACCUGAAAAUUUGUUAAUUCCAAUUCGCAACAUCACCACAACAACUACUGAACAAGUGAAUAAGAUUGAGUUUUCUCCAGAUGGGGAAUAUUUAUAUGCUCUCUCAGCAACACAAGUUGUUAAAGUAAAAGCUACAUUCGAUUGCUCAAUUAUAACAAAUUGCUCUGAAUGUGUUGUCCGUUUUCGCUGUGGUUGGUGUGCCAGUUAGACUUUAAAUGCACUAGGCUUAACUCAGGAUGUACUACUGGUGAAUGGCUCAAUAUUACAAAUCAAGCUACAGUUGCUACAGAUGUAUGUCCUUAUUUACAACCUAAUUCUGAUGCAUCUGGUGGAAAAUAUACUCAACCAGUUACUGUUGCUAAAAAUUUGACCAUAUCUACAAUCAAUACCCCAUUUCUACCUGGCCUCAGCUAUGAGUGUGUAUAUGGUACUGAUACUAGAGCUGCUACUGUUAGCAGUGUCGACAAUAGAGUGACAUGUAUUAAUAAU